CGCCCGGCCAGGAUCCCGUGGGGGGAAUCCAUGACCGGGAAUGGAAGCGCCCCGUCGACGGG
rnacentral:ncRNA from 1 species